rnacentral:rRNA from 1 species
UACGUAGGGUGCAAGCGUUGUCCGGAAUUAUUGGGCGUAAAGAGCUCGUAGGCGGUCUGUCGCGUCUGGUGUGAAAACUCAGGGCUUAACCCUGAGCUUGCAUCGGGUACGGGCAGACUAGAGUGCGGUAGGGGAGACUGGAAUUCCUGGUGUAGCGGUGAAAUGCGCAGAUAUCAGGAGGAACACCGGUGGCGAAGGCGGGUCUCUGAAACGCAACUGACGCUGAGACGCGAAAGCGUGGGGAGCAAACAGG